CCUUUCAUAGAGCAGGUUUGAAACACUCUUUUUGUAGUAUCUGGAAGUGGACAUUUGGAGCGCUUUCAGGCCUAUGUUGAAAAAGGAAAUAUCUUCCCAUAAAAACAAGACAGAAGCAUUCUCUGAAACCGGUUUCUGAGGUGUGUCCUCAACUAACAGAGUUGAACAUUUCUUUUGACAGAACAGUUUUGAAACACUCAUUUUGUGGUAUCUGCAA
rnacentral:lncRNA from 10 species